GUCUACGGCCAUACCACCCUGAACGCGCCCAAUCUCGUCUGAUCUCGGAAGCUAAGCAGGGUCGGGCCUGGUUAGUACUUGGAUGGGAGAAAACAAAAGCAAAGAAA
ensembl:rRNA 5S_rRNA 5S ribosomal RNA